UACGUAGGUGGCGAGCGUUUGUCCGGAUUUAUUGGGCGUAAAGAGCUCGUAGGCGGCUUGUCGCGUCGACUGUGAAAUCCCGCGGCUCAACUGCGGGUCUGCAGUCGAUACGGGCAGGCUAGAGUUCGGUAGGGGAGACUGGAAUUCCUGGUGUAGCGGUGAAAUGCGCAGAUAUCAGGAGGAACACCGGUGGCGAAGGCGGGUCUCUGGGCCGAUACUGACGCUGAGAUGCGAAAGCGUGGGGGAGCGAACGGG
rnacentral:rRNA from 1 species